rnacentral:rRNA from 1 species
AGAGUUUGAUCCUGGCUCAGGAUGAACGCUGGCGGCGUGCUUAACACAUGCAAGUCGAACGGUGAAAGAGGAGCUUGCUCCUCUGGAUCAGUGGCGAACGGGUGAGUAACACGUGAGUAACCUGCCCUUGACUCUGGGAUAAGCACUGGAAACGGUGUCUAAUACCGGAUACGAGCUUCAGCCGCAUGGCUAGGAGCUGGAAAGAAUUUCGGUCAAGGAUGGACUCGCGGCCUAUCAGCUAGUUGGUGAGGUAACGGCCCACCAAGGCGACGACGGGUAGCCGGCCUGAGAGGGUGACCGGCCACACUGGGACUGAGACACGGCCCAGACUCCUACGGGAGGCAGCAGUGGGGAAUAUUGCACAAUGGGCGCAAGCCUGAUGCAGCAACGCCGCGUGAGGGACGACGGCCUUCGGGUUGUAAACCUCUUUUAGUAGGGAAGAAGCGAAAGUGACGGUACCUGCAGAAAAAGCACCGGCUAACUACGUGCCAGCAGCCGCGGUAAUACGUAGGGUGCAAGCGUUAUCCGGAAUUAUUGGGCGUAAAGAGCUCGUAGGCGGUUUGUCGCGUCUGCUGUGAAAACUGGAGGCUCAACCUCCAGCCUGCAGUGGGUACGGGCAGACUAGAGUGCGGUAGGGGAGAUUGGAAUUCCUGGUGUAGCGGUGGAAUGCGCAGAUAUCAGGAGGAACACCGAUGGCGAAGGCAGAUCUCUGGGCCGUAACUGACGCUGAGGAGCGAAAGCAUGGGGAGCGAACAGGAUUAGAUACCCUGGUAGUCCAUGCCGUAAACGUUGGGAACUAGAUGUAGGGACCAUUCCACGGUUUCUGUGUCGCAGCUAACGCAUUAAGUUCCCCGCCUGGGGAGUACGGCCGCAAGGCUAAAACUCAAAGGAAUUGACGG